UACGAAGGGGGCUAGCGUUGCUCGGAAUUACUGGGCGUAAAGGGCGCGUAGGCGGGUCGUUAAGUUAGAGGUGAAAGCCCAGGGCUCAACCCUGGAAUUGCCUUUGAUACUGGCGGCCUUGAGUAUGGCAGAGGUGUGUGGAACUCCGAGUGUAGAGGUGAAAUGCGCAGAUAUCAGGAGGAACACCAAUGGCGAAGGCAGCUCGCUGGGACGGUACUGACGCUGGAGGCGACGAAAGCGUGGGGAGCAAACAGG
rnacentral:rRNA from 1 species